GAGGGAGUCCAAGACAGAAAAGACACAGCUGAACCUGCUCUUGAAGAACAAGUCCAAAGAAAAUAUACUAAGGAGCCUUCUCUUCAAGAACACGUUGCAGGAAUAUGCACAACUGAUGACAUGACUUACACUGAAGAAAUCCAAAUGAGUUUCCCACUUGAAAAUCCUGAUGAGGACUCAGAAACAUUCACAGCCACAGAAGUUGUAGAUAUAACAGGCAUAGAAGAUGAAGCUAUAACGGGCACAGAAGGGACAUUUAACAUCUUGAUAAAAAGACUGCAAUCCAAUUGGCAAGCUAUUUUAAUCGGGAUUUUGAUAGUGCUUUUGUGUGGCGUGACCAGUGCCCUCUUCAAUAAACAGCAAUUUCUGAUUGCAAAAUUACAACAUAUGUCAGAGGAGACAGCAUGGAAUGAGAAACAGUUUAAAAUGGAAAACAUUCAGCUGAAACAGCUUCUGAAUUCCACCUAUCAGAACCUCACCCUUCUGGGUACUGAGAAC